UACGUAGGGGGCGAGCGUUGUCCGGAGUUACUGGGCGUAAAGGGCACGCAGGCGGUGCGGCGCGUUUCGCGUGACAGCGGAGGGCUUAACUCUCCGAGGAUGCGAAAGACGGCGGCACUUGAGGGCCAGAGAGGGACACGGAAUUCCGGGUGGAGUGGUGAAAUGCGUAGAGAUCCGGAGGAACACCGAAGGCGAAGGCAGUGUCCUGGCUGGUGACUGACGCUGAGGUGCGAAAGCUAGGGGAGCGAACGGGAUUAGAUACCCCGGUAGUCCUAGCCGUAAACGAUGACCACCAGGUGUGGGAGGUAUCGACCCCUUCCGUGCCGGAGUUAACACACUAAGUGGUCCGCCUGGGGAGUACGGUCGCAAGAUUAAA
rnacentral:rRNA from 1 species